rnacentral:lncRNA from 1 species
AAGAUGGGUAGAGGUUAACAGAUUUUUUAAAUUAUAUUUUCAAUAUUAUUUUUACUAGUUUUCUCUCUAGCUCUUUUUUGUCCCUUUUCUCAGAAAUUGAGAGAGAGUGACAUGUUUCCUUGGCUUCAGGCAGAGUGGCCCACUGCAGUGGCUCUUCUCUAUUAGCAAGCAAUCAUAUCUAUAGCCAAGGCUGUUAUGACUUCCAGCCCUUUCCAUCUCACUAUCUGGCCAAGGCACACUUCUCAGAAGUCAGAAACAGUAAUGCUUACCUCCUCCUUUUGUUUGAUUCUUUAUCUCAAUGCUCAAAGUUUUCAUUACCAUUUAUUUCAGGAUCCCCCAGGGCUGAAAGGACUCCAAAGUCUGCCUUAUAACACUGGAUCUCUGAGAGAGAGAUUGCAUAUUCUCCCAGACAUCUUCUAUCCUCUUUGCUCUAAAGGCAAGAGGCAGACCAUCCCCGAUGGGCACAACGGCUUCUCCGGGGUGGAAACCAGGAAAGAAUGGAAAGUUGUGUCUGAACCCAGGUGCGUUUCCAGGCUGGGGCCCUGGCUGCACACAGUCCUUCCCUGGGGCCUGUGGAGAGGGGUGCGGUUGUGUCACUGUGUGCACACAGGUCAUUGCCCGCAGGGAGGGGGGAGCCGUCGGCAGCCCCGAGCGCUGCUCCUGAAGCUUCCUCCAGGAGUGGACUUAGGGAGGGGGCCCCAGGCAGUGAGGUCACUUCUUUCACAACAGAGGCCAAUAGAACUUGGAACCCCUACACCCGGGCCCCCACAUUCUAGUGCAGCCCCACCUCAGGCUCACUUUCAGGAGACUUCUGCUACUGAAAGAUGUUCUCUUCCUGCUGUCCCCGUUUCGAGGACCCUCAGGAACCCCAGGGAUGCGGCUCUUUCGAAUGCUGGAGACGUUGGUGCCACCUACAAACCCAACGCCUCAGGGAGUUUUUCAGGAGGCGCCAUAGGGUAA